AUUGAACGCUGGCGGCAGGCCUAACACAUGCAAGUCGAGCGGCAGCGGGAAAGUAGCUUGCUACUUUUGCCGGCGAGCGGCGGACGGGUGAGUAAUGCCUGGGGAUCUGCCCAGUCGAGGGGGAUAACUACUGGAAACGGUAGCUAAUACCGCAUACGCCCUACGGGGGAAAGCAGGGGACCUUCGAGCCUUGCGCGAUUGGAUGAACCCAGGUGGGAUUAGCUAGUUGGUGAGGUAAUGGCUCACCAAGGCGACGAUCCCUAGCUGGUCUGGGAGGAUGACCAGCCACACUGGAACUGAGACACGGUCCAGACUCCUACGGGAGGCAGCAGUGGGGAAUAUUGCACAAUGGGGGAAACCCUGAUGCAGCCAUGCCGCGUGUGUGAAGAAGGCCUUCGGGUUGUAAAGCACUUUCAGCGAGGAGGAAAGGUUGGUAGCUAAUAACUGCCAGCUGUGACGUUACUCGCAGAAGAAGCACCGGCUAACUCCGUGCCAGCCGCCGCAGUAAUAC
rnacentral:rRNA from 1 species